AUCAAUGGCUAUAUCACCUUGAACAUGCCCAAUUUAUUCUGAUCUCUAAGGAUAAGCCAGGUGGGCUCUGGUUAGUAUCUGAAGGGGAGACUGCUUGCGAGUACUAGGUGUUGUAGGUU
rnacentral:rRNA from 1 species